GUGGGGAAUAUUGGACAAUGGGCGAAAGCCUGAUCCAGCCAUGCCGCGUGAGUGAUGAAGGCCUUAGGGUUGUAAAGCUCUUUCAGUAGGGAAGAUAAUGACGGUACCUACAGAAGAAGCCCCGGCUAACUUCGUGCCAGCAGCCGCGGUAAUACGAAGGGGGCUAGCGUUGUUCGGAUUUACUGGGCGUAAAGCGCACGUAGGCGGAUUGGUCAGUUAGAGGUGAAAUCCUGGAGCUCAACUCCAGAACUGCCUUUAAUACUGCCAGUCUAGAGUCCAGAAGAGGUGAGUGGAACUCCUAGUGUAGAGGUGGAAUUCGUAGAUAUUAGGAAGAACACCAGUGGCGAAGGCGGCUCACUGGUCAGGUACUGACGCUGAGGUGCGAAAGCGUGGGGAGCAAACAGGAUUAGAAACCCCUGUAGUCC
rnacentral:rRNA from 1 species